CCUGGCCAAAUGCCACUGCGCAACCUGAUCCCGCAGCUGUGGAUGACAUAUCAAUUUUCAGUAUAUUCAAUGGCGUAGGCAUGGAGUUGCUGCUAAGUGCAGGUGGAAGUGGAAGUCCUGGUUCAACCGAUAUAGAGGUGGAUUCAAGGUGAGCAUAGAACUGGCAAUGGACGUAGCUAUGGACCUCCAUCCAAAUGAAAACCAACGAGUUUGAUCAAGGAUUGUAAUUGAUGAAGUUUGGGGAUUAUCUGCUAAGGCUUUUAUAGAUUCACUGUAGUUUAAAUUUAUUGUAUGGCAAGCCUGUAAGUCCAGUCCAGAUCCAUGAUGGCAGGCCUGUAAACUGAGAUUCCAGGUCCAUGACAAUGACCUGGGCUGUCAAAAAAAAUUUAUUUGUAGUUUGAAGUUUUUUCACGGUUUUAACUGUAAUAACAAUAGUGAGUAAAAGCAACACGUGUCUUCAUCCCA